AGAGUUUGAUCAUGGCUCAGGAUGAACGCUAGCGGCAGGCUUAACACAUGCAAGUCGAGGGGCAGCGCGGAGUAGCAAUACUCUGGCGGCGACCGGCGCAAGGGUGCGUAACGCGUGAGCAACUUGCCCGUAACAGGAGGAUAACCGGAGGAAACUCCGACUAAUACUGCGUAGUAAUUUUUGGUGGCAUCGCCGAGAGUUUAAAGACGAAAGUCGGUUACGGAUAGGCUCGCGUGACAUUAGCUAGAUGGCGGGGUAACGGCCCACCAUGGCGACGAUGUCUAGGGGUUCUGAGAGGAAGGUCCCCCACACUGGUACUGAGACACGGACCAGACUCCUACGGGAGGCAGCAGUGAGGAAUAUUGGACAAUGGUCGGAAGACUGAUCCAGCCAUGCCGCGUGAAGGCUAAGGUCCUAUGGAUUGUAAACUUCUUUUGUACGAGAGGAAUAAGGAUGACGUGUCAUCCGAGGACAGUAUCGUACGAAUAAGCAUCGGCUAACUCCGUGCCAGCAGCCGCGGUAAUACGGAGGAUGCGAGCGUUAUCCGGAUUCAUUGGGUUUAAAGGGUGCGCAGGCGGACGAUUAAGUCAGCGGUGAAAAGUAUGCGCUUAACGCAUAUCGUGCCGUUGAAACUGGUUGACUAGGAUACGUAUGCUGUGGGAGGAAUGUGUAGUGUAGCGGUGAAAUGCAUAGAUAUUACACAGAACACCGAUUGCGAAGGCAUCUCACAAAUACGUCAUUGACGCUGAGGCACGAAAGUGCGGGGAUCAAACAGGAUUAGAUACCCUGGUAGUCCGCACAGUAAACGAUGAUAACUCGCUGUUGGUUCGUUAAGAAUCAGUGGCCAAGCGAAAGCGAUAAGUUAUCCACCUGGGGAGUACGACCGCAAGGUUGAAACUCAAAGGAAUUGACGGGGGCCCGCACAAGCGGAGGAACAUGUGGUUUAAUUCGAUGAUACGCGAGGAACCUUACCCGGGCUCGAACGGCAAGUGAACGAUGCAGAGAUGCAAAGGUCCUUCGGGACACUUGUCGAGGUGCUGCAUGGUUGUCGUCAGCUCGUGCCGUGAGGUGUCGGCUUAAGUGCCAUAACGAGCGCAACCCUUGUUGUCAGUUACCAGCGCGUAAAGGCGGGGACUCUGGCGAGACUGCCACCGUAAGGUGAGAGGAGGGGGGGGAUGACGUCAAAUCAGCACGGCCCUUACGUCCGGGGCGACACACGUGUUACAAUGGCCGGUACAGAGGGGAGCUACCUGGCGACAGGGUGCAAAUCUCGAAAGCCGGUCUCAGUUCGGAUCGGAGUCUGCAACUCGACUCCGUGAAGUUGGAUUCGCUAGUAAUCGCGCAUCAGCCAUGGCGCGGUGAAUACGUUCCCGGGCCUUGUACACACCGCCCGUCAAGCCAUGAAAGCCGGGGGUGCCUGAAGUUCGUGACCGCGAGGAGCGACCUAGGGCAAAACUGGUAAUUGGGGCUAAGUCGUAACAAGGUAGCCGUACCGGAAGGUGUGGCUGGAACACCUCCUU
rnacentral:rRNA from 1 species